GAUUCAUGACUGGGGUGAAGUCGUAACAAGGUAGCCGUAGGGGAACCUGCGGCUGGAUCACCUCCUUAAAAA
rnacentral:rRNA from 1 species